GAUGCCUAUUUAUUUUUUAUUUUUCUUUUCGGUUUCUGUAUGUGAUUUUGGGCGAUGCUAGCUACAUUUGAAACUCUAAUGAUUCUUUUAGGGGUUUUCUUAAAAUAAUAAUUUUUUAUUUAUAUGAUGACGAGAAAUAAGGGAUACUUUUUGUUUUAUCAACUCGGUAGCAUGGGAUAGUAGAAUGAAUUUCUCUCGCCGAGGAUUGAACCUUCAGCUGGUCUUUAUAUAUGGUGAAUUCAAGACAUGUCUUUCACAUAAACAUCUAUCACUUAAGAAUAGUUUAUUGAUAUGCAUUUUCAUUUUAAUUUUUAACAUUAAGGUUAUAUUACUUGGUUUGCUGUAAACACCAGGUGCGUAUAAGUAUUUACCCCUGAUACAUCUGUAUUUAAUUUUAGUUUUUGUUUUUCUUUUCUUGUUUUUUUUUUGCUGAUCGUGACAAGUAGCAUGAAAAUUCUUGGGUUUCUAAGUUUCUUUUGUUAUCUUCUCUCUUGUUGCUCAUGUUUCUUUUUAGGAGGAAUUGUGUAUCUUGGUGUUCCUCUUAGAUAGCCAGUAUUUUCAACAUCCUUAAAACAAAGCAGAUAUGUCAUGAAUUGCUUUCCGUCGAGACGUUCUUCAAAAAGUUGUAACUAUGAUUUCCCAUAUCCUCUUUUGAUUCAGAUUGAUAACCGAGAAAUUCCCGAGGGUCACUGGCAUACAGUUUAAAACGUGGUGGAUAAUGGGCCUGCCCCGCGACCCGUCUCCACUUAAAUGCCAGACUUUUGUCCGGGUUCUAACUCGUGACGUGCGCCUCUAUGCUCCUUUUUGCCAACCAUUCUUUUGCGCCCUCCUUAAAUGUAUAGAAGUCGGAGUUCUUCCGAAUUUCUUACCUAGACUCUAAUAUAAUUAUACUCAAGUUAAGGAGAAGAGGUGGUUUCUUUCAUAAUGUACUUUUUCCUAUGAAACGGUAUCUAUGUUCGCACUUCGCACAAGGAUUCAUAUAUAUCAAAUUCAAUGCUAGCACUUGUAAUAUUUCGGUUUAUCAAAAUUCUGGGACGACAAUAAAAAUGUUGAAGACUUGAGGACGAAUUUCGGUAAUCUUGGAUAUGGAACGGGUUCAAGAUUAGUGUGAAGUAACUUAGGGAGGAUAUUGGUUUUUUUUCUUUUUUGGGUUUGUAUUUUUCAAUUUCAGUCGUUCCUAAGAAUUAUCAUUUCUCAUUGCAAUUCCCAUAUGAAGCUGGUUGAUGAAAGGAGCAUCUGUCUCUACACGCGAGCCAAUUCGGAAGUAUACCUUUUCACAGGUUUCUGUAUUAGCUUAGAUCAACUCAAAUCAUAUCAUAGUGGGUCGACUCUGGCAAUACUAUGCAAAUGAAGAAUCUACAGGAUUUACUCCAUUGUGUAGAAAGCAAGAUAUGCUUUGAAUGUGGCUUUUAUGGUCAGGAGAAGAGUUUUGCUCCUAUCGUUCUUGCCUUGAGGUCUACCAGAGCUUUCUGCCACCAGCUAGGAAACUGUUGACAUUCUUUAUGUUAGCCUUGGUGGCUCUGUCCUUCCAAAUGUCAGAUUUCUUCUCCAGAGUUAGUUCCUUUUCCCACAAGGUCUGCCUCUUAGAAAGGUCAAGAGAAAAAUAUUAAGUAAAUGAUGAAAGGUGACAUUGUAGUAUGUGGACACUAUUUUCACAAGGCCCGUGAUUGUAUAAUUCAAUUUGAAAAGGAAGGGAUAUUACCUAGAAAUAAAGUUAUUACUCUUUUAGUGCCGUUCAGUCACAUUUACAAAUGUUAACUGUAGUUCUGAACUUUUUCAGAACUGACAUACUUUGAGAUGCAUCAAUAGUUUUCUUAAAAUAGAUUUACCA